UGGGGAAUUUUGGACAAUGGGCGAAAGCCUGAUCCAGCAAUGCCGCGUGUGUGAAGAAGGCCUUCGGGUUGUAAAGCACUUUUGUCCGGAAAGAAAUGGCUCUGGUUAAUACCUGGGGUCGAUGACGGUACCGGAAGAAUAAGGACCGGCUAACUACGUGCCAGCAGCCGCGGUAAUACGUAGGGUCCAAGCGUUAAUCGGAAUUACUGGGCGUAAAGCGUGCGCAGGCGGUUGUGCAAGACCGAUGUGAAAUCCCCGAGCUUAACUUGGGAAUUGCAUUGGUGACUGCACGGCUAGAGUGUGUCAGAGGGGGGUAGAAUUCCACGUGUAGCAGUGAAAUGCGUAGAGAUGUGGAGGAAUACCGAUGGCGAAGGCAGCCCCCUGGGAUAACACUGACGCUCAUGCACGAAAGCGUGGGGAGCAAACAGA
rnacentral:rRNA from 1 species